UAGAAGCGAACCUGUGAAGGGGAGCAAACCACAGAAAAGACGCCCAGUUCGGAUUGUAAUCUGCAACUCGAUUACAUGAAGCUGGAAUCGCUAGUAAUCGCAAAUCAGAAUGUUGCGGUGAAUACGUUCCCGGGGUCUUGUACACACCGCCCGUCACACCAUGGGAGCUAGGAAUGCCCGAAGCCAGUGGCCUAACCGAAAGGAAGGAGCUGUCGAAGGCAGGCCCAGUAACUGGGGUGAAGUCGUAACAAGGUAUC
rnacentral:rRNA from 1 species